rnacentral:rRNA from 1 species
GACGAACGCUGGCGGCGUGCUUAACAUAUGCAAGUCGAACGCGAAAGGGACUUCGGUCCUGAGUAAAGUGGCGCACGGGUGAGUAACGCGUGGAUAAUCUACCCGAUGGACCGGGAUAACAUUUCGAAAGGGGUGCUAAUACCGGAUAAGACCACGGCUUCUUAGGGGGCUGCGGUAAAAGGUGGGGACCUUCGGGCCUACCGUCGUCGGAUGAGUCCGCGUACCAUUAGCUAGUUGGUAGGGUAAGAGCCUACCAAGGCGACGAUGGUUAGCAGGUCUGAGAGGAUGAUCAGCCACACUGGAACUGAGACACGGUCCAGACUCCUACGGGAGGCAGCAGUGGGGAAUUUUGCGCAAUGGGGGAACCCCUGACGCAGCAACGCGGCGUGAGUGAUGAAGGCCUUCGGGUCGUAAAGCUCUGUCAGAGGGGAAGAAAUGCAGGGGUGCUAAUAUCAUCUUUGCUUGACGGUACCCUCAAAGGAAGCCCCGGCUAACUCCGUGCCAGCAGCCGCCGUAAUAC